rnacentral:rRNA from 1 species
AUUGAACGCUGGCGGCAUGCCUAACACAUGCAAGUCGAACGGGGCAGCAAUGCCUAGUGGCGGACGGGUGAGGAAUACGUAGGAAUCUGCCCUUAAGUGGGGGAUAACCAGGGGAAACCCUGACUAAUACCGCAUGAUCUCUUCGGAGCAAAGAGGGGGACCGCAAGGCCUCUCGCUUCUGGAUGAGCCUACGUCUGAUUAGCUAGUUGGUAGGGUAAAGGCCUACCAAGGCGACGAUCAGUAACUGGUCUGAGAGGAUGAUCAGUCACACCGGAACUGAGACACGGUCCGGACUCCUACGGGAGGCAGCAGUGGGGAAUAUUGGACAAUGGGCGCAAGCCUGAUCCAGCAAUGCCGCGUGUGUGAAGAAGGCAUUCGGGUUGUAAACUCCUGUCAGGUGGGAAGAAUAGGCUGCAGCGAACAACUGCAGACGUUGACGGUACCACCAGAGGAAGCCCCGGCUAACUCCGUGCCAGCCGCCGCCGUAAAAC